ensembl:snoRNA
ACAUUCUGAAAAUUAUCUUUAGCAUGUCUGUUGCUGCAGGUAAGAUAAUUGUGCCCACAGAAGAUGGCACAUUAAGCUUAUUGCCAGCUAGAUGGAGCUGUGCAAUGAAACCCAUGUGCCUACAGCU